UGCCUUUUAUAGCCGGAGUAUCGGCUUUAUCGGCUUUAUACUGUUGUUGUUUUAAAAAAAAAUGCUAACAGCUAUACACAAUUAGGAAAGAAUCGUUGGAAUAUCUUGGCCACAAUUUAUGUAUAGUACAGGAUAAUAGUGAUGGUGAGCAUUGGCCAGCGACGGCAGCAGAGCGUCCACAUAUUCCACUCGUUCCUGUGGGAUCACGAGCGAGAUGCCUUCGCUACGUUCAAUUACGAGAAUUGCCAUUUAUUUGCUAA
rnacentral:misc_RNA from 1 species